rnacentral:rRNA from 1 species
CCUACGGGAGGCAGCAGUGAGGAAUAUUGGUCAAUGGACGAGAGUCUGAACCAGCCAAGUAGCGUGAAGGAUGACUGCCCUAUGGGUUGUAAACUUCUUUUAUAUGGGAAUAAAAUGUUCCACGUGUGGGAUUUUGUAUGUACCAUAUGAAUAAGGAUCGGCUAACUCCGUGCCAGCAGCCGCGGUAAUACGGAGGAUCCGAGCGUUAUCCGGAUUUAUUGGGUUUAAAGGGAGCGUAGGUGGAUUGUUAAGUCAGUUGUGAAAGUUUGCGGCUCAACCGUAAAAUUGCAGUUGAAACUGGCAGUCUUGAGUACAGUAGAGGUGGGCGGAAUUCGUGGUGUAGCGGUGAAAUGCUUAGAUAUCACGAAGAACUCCGAUUGCGAAGGCAGCUCACUGGACUGCAACUGACACUGAGGCCCGAAAGCGUGGGGAGCAAACAGGAUUAGAUACCCCUGUAGUC